ensembl:lncRNA
GAGACUUCAAUGCCGCUUCUUUUUGCUCUGGAAGCACCUGAAGCGUUGGCACGAAGGCUGAAGGCAUCAUGAGGGUCUCUGAGCUACACCCCACCCGCUGCGGGCACCUGCAUCCCCUCAGGGCUCCUGCUCUGCAUUGCCCGAUCCACUUGGCACAGCUCUGGGGGCAGAACGGAACCCAAAGGAGGCUCUGGACGAUGGACUUUGCUACAGGGAAACCUAAUGCUACCACAGAAAGGGAAGUGAUCAUGGUGUAGCAAUGUGAACUGCCACACAUGGCAAAGCUCGUUUUCCCACCGAGAGCUGGUGUUUUGUGGGACCACAACCUGGUCCCACGAAAGAAGGCAACCUUUCUCCAGUCCACGUAGCAAAACCCCUUCCCACCUUUUCUCAGGCAAGGUCCUGUCCCUGUGGUACAUGCCCAGCACUCCGGGGAAUCCUACACAGUGCCAUGACCCAAAUCAGCACCCAAGCCUGCCUCACUGCAAAGCAUGCCUGUAAUUUCAACUUGAUGCUGUUCUUUCAUGCAGCAGCUACUGGAAGGCUUGGGGAUCAAGUGCUGUAGGUGUAUGCUUAACACUGCUGAAGUCACUUUGAUCUUCUCCGAGGACAGAAUUUUCUGCAGAUUAAAUUCUCAGCUCUGAACGAUGGUAUUGGUUAUUUAACAGAAUCAAAGUUGGAAGAUGGUUAAAUAAUUAGUGAGUUGAAUUUAAAGAAUAUAGCUGAAGUUUCUGGGAUAUUUUAGUCACAUUUACUUGUAAUAUACAAAAUAUACUGCCUCAGAGCCUGUCAGUAUGCAGCCCUGCGCUCCGAGCAGCACCCCACAAGUAUUAGCGUGCUUCUCCCUUUGCAGAUGCAUCUGUUCUUG